rnacentral:rRNA from 1 species
UACGUAGGUGGCGAGCGUUGUCCGGAUUUACUGGGCGUAAAGGGCGUGCAGGCGGUCUGUUAAGUCUAGGGUGAAAGCUCCCGGCUCAACUGGGAGAGGUCCUUGGAUACUGGCGGACUUGAGGGAGACAGAGGAGAGUGGAAUUCCAGGUGUAGCGGUGAAAUGCGUAGAUAUCUGGAGGAAUACCGGUGGCGAAGGCGGCAUCCUGGACCGGCAUUGACGCUGAGGAGCGAAAGCUAGGGGAGCAAACGGG